rnacentral:rRNA from 1 species
UAACCUGCCCAAGAGAUCGGGAUAACACCUGGAAACAGAUGCUAAUACCGGAUAAUAACAGAUGAUGCCUAUCAACUGUUUAAAAGAUGGUUCUGCUAUCACUCUUGGAUGGACCUGCGGUGCAUUAGCUAGUUGGUAGGGUAACGGCCUACCAAGGCGAUGAUGCAUAGCCGAGUUGGGAGACUGAUCGGCCACAUUGGGACUGAGACACGGCCCAAACUCCUACGGGAGGCAGCAGCU